UACGGGGGGGGCAAGCGUUGUUCGGAAUUACUGGGCGUAAAGGGCGCGUAGGCGGCCUGGCAAGUGGAAGGUGAAAUCCCUCGGCUUAACCGAGGAACUGCCUCCCAAACUGCUUGGCUUGAGACCAGGAGAGGUGAGUGGAAUUCCCAGUGUAGCGGUGAAAUGCGUAGAUAUUGGGAGGAACACCAGUGGCGAAGGCGGCUCACUGGACUGGUACUGACGCUGAGACGCGAAAGCGUGGGGAGCGAACAGG
rnacentral:rRNA from 1 species